AUAGCGUAUAUUUAAGUUGUUGCAGUUAAAAAGCUCGUAGUUGGACUUUGGGUUGGGUCGGCCGGUCCGCCUCACGGUGUGCACCGGUCGUCUCGUCCCUUCUGCCGGCGAUACGCUCCUGGACUUAACUGGCCGGGUCGUGCCUCCGGCGCUGUUACUUUGAAGAAAUUAGAGUGCUCAAAGCAAGCCUACGCUCUGUAUACAUUAGCAUGGGAUAACAUCAUAGGAUUUCGGUCCUAUUACGUUGGCCUUCGGGAUCGGAGUAAUGAUUAAUAGGGACAGUCGGGGGCAUCAGUAUUCAAUUGUCAGAGGUGAAAUUCUUGGAUUUAUUGAAGACUAACUACUG
rnacentral:rRNA from 1 species